AAUUAAUAAAGUACGGAUUAAAAAAGGUAUAAAAAGAUUAAAUAUUAAUUAGUAUUUCAAUAGAUUUCUUAACGGCAACAAGUUAUCCGAUCGUGAAAAAAUAUGAAACUAAUUAAAUCAAUCCUCUUAGUUGCUUGCAUUGUUGCCAGUGCAAUGGCCGCUCCGGAUAAUUAUAACGCCCAAGGUGUUCUUAACACUGGCCAUUUUAGUCAAGGAGGAAAGUAAUUAAAAUUUUUGUGUUAAUAGAAAUUUUAUAAAAAUUUUUGAUGAGUAAAUAAAAUGAUUUAUUAUUAAACAGA